UACGAAGGGUGCAAGCGUUAAUCGGAAUUACUGGGCGUAAAGCGUGCGCAGGCGGUUUUGUAAGUCAGAUGUGAAAUCCCCGGGCUCAACCUGGGAAUGGCAUUUGGGACUGCAAGGCUUGAGUGCGGCAGAGGAGACUGGAAUUCCUGGUGUAGCAGUGAAAUGCGUAGAUAUCAGGAGGAAUACCGAUGGCGAAGGCAGGUCUCUGGGCCACUACUGACGCUGAGAAGCGAAAGCGUGGGGAGCGAACAGG
rnacentral:rRNA from 1 species